CUAAAGUCUUGAAUAGUCCCAGCCUCUGCAGGAGUCUACCUAUCAGGGGAGUAUGAUGGGGCUUCUGAAAUCAACCUGGACUGUCGUGGCCUCACUGCGUGAGACCAGUUAGAGAAGCUGGGGUUUGGGUUAUCUGUGUCACACAGAGUCCUGAGGUGCUGUGCACAGCUCCCCCUGCUCACCGGAAGCUACUUGGUGAAGACCUGGCCCCUUGAUCAUGUCCUGGGGUGCAGGGUUCCUACUGGAGCCUGAACAGUGACAUCCCUGAUGUUAUAGGCAAAUGCUCCAAACUGAGAAAACAGAGGAGUGGAACAGAGCAUCUGCUAUCUGGCCCAGGAGACCAACACCAUGGGUAGAGAGAUGCCCUAUCUUGGCUUUUCAGAUUUGGCUUGGGGACCCAGGGUCCUUUCCUAUCUGACCCUUUGUCUCUUGGGAACAGGUUUUCUGGAUGCCGAAGUCAUCCAGUCCCCAAGAAACCUAAUCAAAGCCAAGGGAGGGAAGUCCACUCUGCUAUGCUACCCCACCUCUGGACACAUAAGUGUGUCCUGGUAUCAGCAGGUUCCUGGUCAAGGCCUCCAAUUGCUCAUUCAGUAUUAUGAUAUGCGUCAGAGAACUAAAGGAAACAUGCCUGACCGAUUCUCAGGUCAGCAAUUCAGUGACUAUCACUCAGAGCUGAACAUGAGCACCUUGGAGCUGGAGGACACAGCGGUGUAUCUCUGUGCCAGCAGCAUGACACACAGCCUUGCAGAGCUACUGGCUUUGUGCACUCCAACCUUCCAGUCCCAGCUGAGGAUGCCUUGGGGGCGGGGAAGGGGAGAGUUGUCACCUUAACCCAAGCCCUGUGGAUGCCUGCAGUGCUUUGCUAACCUCUUCCUGCUCUGCUGUACUCAGCCUCAGGGCUUAUGGAAUUUCAGGUUCUAGGUCUGCAAGAUGCUCUUGAAGGCUCUACCUGGACCUUUCAAUUCCUAGGCACUGGCAGGGGUCCUACUCUCUUUAGAGUAGAGUGGUGUGUGGGUGGGUGCAUUGUGAUUGAUGACUAUG